AUCCCAGCUAAGUUUGAUAAAGUACUUAUCUGAUUCAUGUGAGGCCUAAACCAAAGUUGCGAGUUUCGCUGAUAAUACCUUCUUUUUUUUUUAAUCCCAGAAGGUGUUUUAUUAGUAACUCUGCGUACAUUU
rnacentral:snoRNA from 1 species